rnacentral:rRNA from 1 species
GAUGAACGCUGGCGGCGUGCCUAAUACAUGCAAGUCGAGCGAACAGAUAAGGAGCUUGCUCCUUUGACGUUAGCGGCGGACGGGUGAGUAACACGUGGGUAACCUACCUAUAAGACUGGGAUAACUUCGGGAAACCGGAGCUAAUACCGGAUAACAUUUGGAACCGCAUGGUUCUAAAGUGAAAGAUGGUUUUGCUAUCACUUAUAGAUGGACCCGCGCCGUAUUAGCUAGUUGGUAAGGUAACGGCUUACCAAGGCAACGAUACGUAGCCGACCUGAGAGGGGGAACGGCCAACAUGGACGUGAGACCGGGCCCAGACCCCGAGGGGAGGACGCAGUGGGGAAUCUUCCGCAAUGGGGGAAAGCCUGACGGAGCAACGCCGGGUGGGUGAUGAAGGGUUUGGGCUCGAAAAACCUUUUUAUUAGGGAAAAAAAAACGGGUAAGUAACUGUGCACGUCUUGGCGGUACUAAAACAAAAAGCCACGGCUAACUACGU